rnacentral:rRNA from 1 species
AGUGAGAAUGCCGGUAUGAGUAGCGAAAGAUAGGUGAGAAUCCUAUCCGCCGAAAGACUAAGGUUUCCUGGGGCAGGCUCGUCCGCCCAGGGUAAGUCGGGACCUAAGGUAAGGCCGAGAGGCGUAGCCGAUGGACAACAGGUAGAAAUUCCUGUACUGAAAUUGUUCGAUAUGAGCAAAGGAGGGACGCAGGAGGCUAAUGACGCAUGUUGCUGGAAAUACAUGUGCAAGCAGUAAGAAAAAAGAUGAGUCAAAUGCUUGUCUUUAGAUUUCAAGCUGUGAUGCGGAGCGAAA